rnacentral:rRNA from 1 species
GUCCAUGCCGUAAACGAUGUCUACUAGCCGUUGGGGCCUUUGAGGCUUUAGUGGCGCAGCUAACGCGAUAAGUAGACCGCCUGGGGAGUACGGUCGCAAGACUAAAACUCAAAUGAAUUGACGGGGGCCCGCACAAGCGGUGGAGCAUGUGGUUUAAUUCGAUGAUACGCGAGGAACCUUACCUGGUCUUGACAUAGUAAGAACUUUCCAGAGAUGGAUUGGUGCCUUCGGGAACUUACAUACAGGUGCUGCAUGGCUGUCGU